rnacentral:rRNA from 1 species
GACGGAGGGUGCAAGCGUUGCUCGGAAUUACUGGGCGUAAAGCGCGUGUAGGCGGUCCGGUAAGUCGAGUGUGAAAGCCCGAGGCUCAACCUCGGAAGUGCAUUCGAAACUGUCGGACUUGAGUACGGGAGAGGGAAGUGGAAUUCCUGGUGUAGAGGUGAAAUUCGUAGAUAUCAGGAGGAACACCGGUGGCGAAGGCGGCUUCCUGGACCGAUACUGACGCUGAGACGCGAAAGCGUGGGGAGCAAACAGG